rnacentral:rRNA from 1 species
GAAUAUUGGACAAUGGGCGCAAGCCUGAUCCAGCCAUGCCGCGUGUGUGAAGAAGGCCUUCGGGUUGUAAAGCACUUUCGGACGGAACGAAAUCGCGCGGUUGAACAUUCCGCGUGGAUGACGGUACAGUAAGCAGAAGCACCGGCUAACUACGUGCCAGCAGCCGCGGUAAUACGCGGGGGGCAAAUGUUGUUCGGAAUCACUGGGCGUAAAGGGAGCGUAGGCGGUUUUUUAAGUUAGGUGUUUAAUCCCGGGGCCCAACCCCGGACAGGCACCUAAAACUGGAAAACUUGAAUAGUGGAGAGGUCGGCGGAAUUGGGGGUGUAGCGGUGGAAUGCGUAGAGAUCCCCAAGAACACCAGUUGCGAAGGCGGCCGACUGGACACAUAUUGACGCUGAGGCUCGAAAGCAUGGGGAGCAAAC